GACGAACGCUGGCGGCGUGCUUAACACAUGCAAGUCGAACGGUGAAGGUGGAGCUUGCUCCGCCGGAUCAGUGGCGAACGGGUGAGUAACACGUGGGCAACCUGCCCCAGACUUCGGGAUAACUCCUCGAAAGAGGCGCUAAUACCGGAUACGAACUCCUUGGGCAUCCUGGGAGUUGGAAAGUUUUUCGGUCUGGGGUGGGCCCGCGGCCUAUCAGCUUGUUGGUGAGGAAACGGCUCACCAAGGCGACGACGGGUAGCCGGCCUGAGAGGGCGACCGGCCACACUGGGACUGAGACACGGCCCAGACUCCUACGGGAGGCAGCAGUGGGGAAUAUUGCGCAAUGGGCGAAAGCCUGACGCAGCAACGCCGCGUGAGGGAUGACGGCCUUCGGGUUGUAAACCUCUUUCAGCAGGGAAGAAGCGAAAGUGACGGUACCUGCAGAAGAAGCACCGGCUAACUACGUGCCAGCAGCCGCCGUAA
rnacentral:rRNA from 1 species